UUGGUAAUCUUCCGCAAUGGACGCAAGUCUGACGGAGCAACGCCGCGUGAGUGAAGAAGGUUUUCGGAUCGUAAAACUCUGUUGUAAGAGAAGAACAAAUUGUAGCGUAACUGCUACAGUCUUGACGGUAUCUUACCAGAAAGCCACGGCUAACUACGUGCCAGCAGCCGCGGUAAUACGUAGGUGGCAAGCGUUGUCCGGAUUUAUUGGGCGUAAAGGGGGCGCAGGCUGCUUCUUAAGUCUGAUGUGAAAGCCCACGGCUUAACCGUGGAAGUGCAUUGGAAACUGGGAAGCUUGAGUACAGAAGAGGAAAGGGGAACUCCAUGUGUAGCGGUGGAAUGCGUAGAUAUACGGAAGACCACCAGUGGAGAAAGCGACUUGCUGGACUGUCAAUGACGCUGAGGACCGAAAGCGUGGGUAGCAAACAGG
rnacentral:rRNA from 1 species